UCACCACCUGAAACACACAGAAAGAGACAUGAAGUUUAAUGUAACUCUGCAGACAACCUGUCACAAUGCAGUGUGAGGCACUAUAUGGCCAAAAAUAUGUGGACUACGGAGUGCAACACUUGUAUACAGUUGUUGAAGAUCUCAUUUCAAAACUAUGGGGAAUUCCUAUGCUGUUGUAACAGCCUCCACUCCUCUGGGAAAACUUUCCAUAAGAUUUUGAAACCUCAGCCACAUAGUGAAGCAUCAGUCCACAAGACCCAACAUCAUCCUGAUUCAGUUCACCCAAAAGGUGUUGGAUGGCAUUGAGGUUGAGGCUCUCUGCUGUGCACGCAAGUUCAUCCACACCAAAUUCAGACAAACUUUAUGGCACUUGCCUAAUGCAAAGGGGCGCUGUCGUGUUGAAACACAAAGGGCCUUUUCCCAAGUGUUGCCACACCACUGGAAGCAUCAAAAAUAUCAGUGUGCUGCAACAUUAGGAUUCCCCUUCACUGGGACCAGGCAGCCUAUAGGGACAGGGGUGUCAACAUACUUGUCAUGGAGUGUACUCAAGUAACUUUAGUAAAAUCAAACAUAAUGAUUGAUUGCGUUGUAGCAGCCUUAAAAAUGAGACUAUAAUUGCAAAUUUGACAUUGACUGAAACCGUUUAGUAGCAUAGUUAAUGUUCCAAACUAUUUUGCAACAGUAAUAUGGUAAAAAAAAAAAUAAAAAAAAAAUACAUGUGUCAGCAAAGCACUGAGAACUCAGAAAUAGCAGUUUGUGCUUUGCAUGACUCACAAUAAAUACCCCUGUAUCACUCAAAAUACCAUGACAUUUUCAUGCCCGGCAACAUACAUUAGCGCUGGGCUCUCCAGACACCUGGGUGUAAAGUGAGCAUUUUUUUGUCGGAGCUACAAAGAUAGUUUCUUGUCAGAGGGAGAGUGCAGUGUCUCAUUCAGUGGUUGAGCACUCUUAGGUUACAAAGCUAUUACUACUCCAUUGUCCUCUGCUAAAUGUGCACCCAGCAGACAAAACACUGCACUUAACCUGCAAAAAAUAUGAGGCAAAUCUUUUUUUUUUAAUAUAAAUAUAACUUAACUUCCUAGAAACCAGGCUCACCAAAGAAACAAGCACUUGGUGUUUCAAAAAAGCCCUUUUAAUGAAGCAAGAGCGUCAUGUAAAUGGAAAAACUGCAAAUCCAAAGUUUGCACAAGUGACAAGAGAUAGUUUGUCUGCCCAAGUGUCAUUUAGCAAAUCACUGAAACCAUACCAGCGUCAGUUGAACAGCUGACCAGGCAGAAUAAGCACACAGGAGGAAUCAAUGAAGCACCAUAAAAAGCAGCUUUUCCAGUUAGAACAAGAAUUUCAACCUCUCUAACAAGACGUUUGAAGCUGUUCUGCUAAACAUCAAGAGCGUAUCUGAAUCUUAAAACAAAAUCUCCUUCAACAAAACCUAGUUAGUAUGCAGAGGCGCUAAAGCAAACUUUGUCCUGAUAACAAUCUUGCAGGAGAUUGGGUCCAACGGAUGUGUUGCCACUAGAGGUCUCAAUGGACCUGCAAUUAUGAACGUGGUCUGAAAUGGACCUGAUAGCCUGAACCUAAUAACAUCUAACAGACUUCCCCUCUAAAAAGACCAUGACAAGACAUGCUGGCCUUUUCUCUUUUUCACUCACACACACACAUCUCAGUGCAGCUCUGAACAUGACAUAGCUCAGAGGGCAAAAAUUAACAAUUUGUGGCUUUUAUUCUUCUGUCCAAGUUACAUUUUUGUCACGUGGUAAUAAUGCAGCAAGCAGGGAUCAUAAAAAAAAAAAAAUACGAUUUAAGGGUAAGCUGCGUUUUCACCAGGUAUACUGUCACACAAUUUUACCCCUAAGGUAAACACCAGGACAGGAUACAUGAAUCUUGCUGCAUUUAAAAAGUUGCUUUUUGGAAUGUGACUUGUCCCACAAACACAAAAAGGCCGUUUUCAAAAAUGGUCCCUGCUCUUAAUUACACCACCAUGCAACAAUAACAUAACAGACCAAAAAAAAAAAGGCCACAAAUAGUUCACUGUGAUAGAUUGCACAUGUCAAGCAACAGCAGACUUAAAGGUCAGAAGUCAAUAUAAAAAACCCUGUGGUGUGCCUUAGAGAAAGUUACACAAACUGUGCAAUUGCUGAGAUACACACAAAAAUCAUUAGACUUGUUAUGCUGCUUAUACUUUCCAUUAACUUCACCUCAAGCACCAUCAUUACCUAUCUUCAUCUUCUAAAAGCCUCUGUGUUACCUACUUGUACAUCUGGCCAAAUCUUCAUCAGAUAAAAUUCACUUUGUAAUGUUUAUUAAUACAAUACACAAGCAGUGAUAAAAAUAACACGGGCUUUCCCCUAGAUAUUCUAAAAGGCACAUUGUGUACUGUAUUACUAGGCUUACUUACAAUAUAGGAUUUGACUCAUGUUUCUGUUUCAAAGCAUGACACGUGUAUUCUGUAAUGGACAUAAAUGACUGCAGCAGAUAUUUGUUGUUAGGUGUGCAAAGGUAGAGACACAGGCGCAACAAUGUCAUCCAGUCAGACACACCUGACAGUGGCAGGAGGGUGGGCAAACAGCAAGGACCAGUCAGUGCAGUAUUUUAAAAUUUUUCCUCUGUUCUUUAAAAUGGUGUGCAAGCGCCCCACUCUUUUAAAGCAUGACUACAUUUAUGCCUCAACACAAAAAAUGUCUUAAAUUUUUAGUUUACAUUUAGCACCAAUUUUACAAAUAUUUCUAGCCUCUCAAAUACUUCGCACAGCUUUUGCAAAAUGUGUCGGACCCUAUGGAUGAUAAAUUAUAGUUUAAAAAAUUGUUAACUUGGUAACUAAUGCUGUUCAAAUGGUGUAAGACACUUUACAGAGUUUAAAGCAUUGCACGAGAAGUCAACUAAUGAUACUCAAGACAUUUGACAGACCACAAGUUACACUGUGGUUAAUUUAAAACUUUACAUCAGGGGUGUGUAACUGUCAGAUCUGCGGGGCAUGACAAAAUCUCCCUGUAUUAGUCCAGGGCUAAUAGGGUCCCUAUCUCCUGUGCAAGGGAACACAGUGACAACUAUGGGAAGUAACACCUAAAAAAAAAAAUCACUUGUGCAAUAACAAAAAAUUUAACGGCCGUUUUAAAAUAUCCAUUCAUAGCUUGUCACAUAAAAAUGCCACACAUUUGCUGGUUUCAGCUCCUCAAACACGAGGAUUUGCAGCUUUUGUACGUUUUAUAUCUUUGUAAAUGAAUCACCUGUUUUAGCUGUUCAAAAAAAAAAAAAAAAAAAAGCAUAAGACAUGAAUGGGCUCUACAGGGAUGCAGGUUGAAAAGGGUGUGUGUCAUCACUCCAAACAUUAAAAAAAUAAAUUUAAAGAUCAACACAUAAAUCAAUACUAAAAUUGUUUGCUGUGGCCCUAAUUGCACGUGAUAAUUACAGACUACAGCUAAGCAGGCAGCUGAUGGAUUUUCCUGUUGAUACCCCCCUCCCUCCGUAUCUGCAUAAUACAAAGUAGGAAAACAUGGGAAACACAAUGUACACUAACUUGGAUUCACAUGCUGAAAUUCUGCUCAGUCAUUUCCUUAUCUUCCAUGUCAUGUGUAGUUGCCUUUUUUUUUAAGCUCAUUUACAGAGACUGAGGCAGUGUUGUGUAAAUUGAACUGAAGUAGCAAUUAUGAAGCAGCUAUUUUACCUUAUCCAUGCUCCAAAAUUCCUUAAUAAAAAUACACAAAGGAACCAACCAGGCAGCAUGCCCAGACAUGUCACCUUCCCCUGCUCAGCCUUUUUAACCCAUUCCUGCGACAUUUGCUCCUCACACAAUGGCCUCAAAGAGUCACCUGACCCCGAGGUUGAAGGUCAAGUAACCUCCUACACCCCGUCGGGUACAUGGACGUGGACACGACAACCCAUCACCUCCCCAGAAGUGGUCUGGGCUGACCUCUUGCCUGUGUGACACCAUCUUCUGCCUGUAUAAGCACACAAUCUAAAGGGAGAUCUACACUGACGUCCUGAGCUGUUUCAAAAAUAAAUUAAAAGGGAAAAAAAUCCCUGAAUGGCAAACACAUUUAUCCACAUGAAAAGAUCCAUGCAAAUUUGAGUUUCUCAUUGUGUUUGUAACGCUUUCUAUAUUUAGCCACUGGGACAUGGAAGGAAACUACUCCAAGUUAAAUAUCUGCACACACAACCGCCUGUUUUGAAAGCACCAACAGUUUAAAAACAUCACCGAUUUAUUCUACCUACAUCAUGUGUUUGCCCAUCAAUCCAGAAGACAAUGAAUGAAAGAGCAGACCCACUGUUUCUUUUCGUUUCACUUUGGCAUGCAGGCAACAUACACACAAUUACAAAUCCAUCACUUUAAAAAUUUAAGCCAGAUAAACACCAGGUAUUAGGCGAGCCAAAUCAUUGUUGUCCUGUGUUUGGCAAGACAAUACACACAGUGCAAAUAUACUAUGUUCACUGUGCCACAACUUUAUGAGGUGGAAUAAAAUGUUUCACCAGCUACCGGGGCAGCAUGUACACAGCAGGGGAUCUCUACAGUAGUUCAAGCAAAUACAAAACCAAUUCAUACAUUAUGACGAAGCAACCGGCCUAUAUAAUAAAGGCAACACAAAAAUGAUCUUACACACAAAAAAAAUUGGAGAGCAAGGUGUGUAAGUCAAAGACACACAGGAGGUGCUGCUCAGUGUAGACCAGAGAUGCUACCUAUGCAGAACUGCUUUGUCCCAUACAACCCCCAGUACUGUAAUGGUAUGUGUUAAUCCUAGAAAAACCUGUUACAUUUGCACAGCCAGCAAAACAUGUCCUGCAUAGCACAGGCAGAGGGACUGGGAUUCCCUGGGAGCUACAGUCGUAUAAUAUCAAAUGAAUUACAGAAAACUCUGGAAACAUGUGAAAACACAUACCUGGCGCUGGCGAGACAAUAAACCCGUUUCACAGGACAACACUAGCAGAUAUGUGAGAGUGACCUCUGAGUCAUUCUUGCACUCCACAAGUAUACACCACCCCCUCCAUUUACUGUCAGGUGUGAGUGUGACAGACGGGCUGUUAAGGUACACAGUAUCUAUACUAAUGAAUAAAAUUAUGCGAAACACCCAACUGGAAAUUCUUCAAAAUUAAUACAUGAUGUACACAAUGUAUAAAACUGGUUUGGCAAGAGCGCAACAAUCAUCUAACUUGUGAAGCUAUGUUUAAUAUGAUUCGUUGUGAAUUAGUUGGCAAGAGCUGGUCUUACAACAGGACAGUCUUCAAAAGUUUAAUAGUUAAUUAUCCCACAUUUUAAGGCUCCCACCAUGACCAACAGCAGUGUCUGUCAUCCGAACACACCAGUUUGUCCACAAUGUGUCUGGUGAAAUAUUUAAUCCACACACACACACACACACACACACACACACACACACACA